rnacentral:rRNA from 1 species
GACGAACGCUGGCGGCGGGCUUAACACAUGCAAGUCGAACGGAAAGGCCCUGGUUUGGGGGGGUGGGCGAGGGGCGAACGGGUGAGUAACACGUGUGUAACCUGCCCUUGACUUUGGGAUAGGUUCAGGAGACUGGGGCUAAUACCGGAUAGGAGCUCUUGCGGCAGGGUGGGGGUGGGAAAGUUUCGGUGGUUGGGGGUGGACUCGCCGCUUAUCAGCUUGUUGGUGGGGUAGUGGCUUACCAAGGCCUUGACGGGUAGCCGGCCUGAGAGGGUGACCGGACACAUUGGGACUGAGAUGCGGCACAGACUACUACGGGAGGCAGCAGUGGGGAAUAUUGCCCAAUGGGCGGAAGCCUGAUGCAGCAACGCCGCGUGCGGGAUGACGGCCUUCGGGUUGUAAACCGCUUUCGCCUGUGACGAAGAGUGAGUGACGGUAAUGGGUAAAGAAGCACCGGCUAACUACGUG